rnacentral:rRNA from 1 species
GCACGAGUGGCGGACGGGUGAGUAAUGUCUGGGAAACUGCCCGAUGGAGGGGGAUAACUACUGGAAACGGUAGCUAAUACCGCAUACCAUCGGAUGUGCCCAGAUGGGAUUAGCUAGUAGGUGGGGUAACGGCCCACCUAGGCGACGAUCCCUCGCUGGUCUGAGAGGAUGACCCGCCACACCGGAACUGUGACACGGUCCAGACUCCUACGGGAGGCAGCAGUGGGGAAUAGUGCACAAUGGGCGCAAGCCUGAUGCAGCCAUGCAUCGUGUAUGAAGAAGGCCUUCGGGUUGUAAAGUACUUUCAGCGAGGAGUCGUUACUCGCAGAAGAAGCACCGGCUAACUCCGUGCCAGCAGCCGCGGUAAUU